UAAUGCGUCGGAACGUGCCGAGUAAUGGGGGAUAACGCAUCGAAAGGUGUGCUAAUACCGCAUACGCUCUGAGGAGGAAAGCGGGGGACCUUCGGGCCUCGCGUUAUUCGAGCGGCCGACGUCUGAUUAGCUAGUUGGUGGGGUAAAGGCUCACCAAGGCGACGAUCAGUAGCGGGUCUGAGAGGAUGAUCCGCCACACUGGGACUGAGACACGGCCCAGACUCCUACGGGAGGCAGCAGUGGGGAAUUUUGGACAAUGGGCGAAAGCCUGAUCCAGCCAUGCCGCGUGAGUGAAGAAGGCCUUCGGGUUGUAAAGCUCUUUUGUCCGGGAGGAAAUCCCGCAACCUAAUACGUUGCGGGGAUGACAGUACUGGAAGAAUAAGCACCGGCUAACUACGUGCCAGCAGCCGCGGUAAUACGUAGGGUGCAAGCGUUAAUCGGAAUUACUGGGCGUAAAGCGUGCGCAGGCGGUUUGAUAAGUCAGAUGUGAAAUCCCCGGGCUUAACCUGGGAACUGCGUUUGAAACUGUCAGGCUAGAGUACGUCAGAGGGGGGUGGAAUUCCACGUGUAGCAGUGAAAUGCGUAGAGAUGUGGAGGA
rnacentral:rRNA from 1 species